CAGCUAUCCCGCGUGAAGGAUUGAAGGCGCUCGACGUCGUAAACUUCUUUUAUAUAGGAAUAAACUUAGGUACGUGUACUUAACUGAAUGUACUAUAUGAAUAAGCAUCGGCUAACUCCGUGCCAGCAGCCGCGGUAAUACGGAGGAUGCAAGCGUUAUCCGGAUUUAUUGGGUUUAAAGGGUCCGCAGGCGGACUAUUAAGUCAGUGGUGAAAUCCCAUCGCUCAACGAUGGAACUGCCAUUGAAACUGCUAGUCUUGAGUCUAGUUGACGUAGGCGGAAUAUGACAUGUAGCGGUGAAAUGCAUAGAUAUGUCAUAGAACACCAAUUGCGAAGGCAGCUUACGAAACUACGACUGACGCUCAUGGACGAAAGCGUGGGUAGCGAACAGGAUUAGAUACCCUGGUAGUCCACGCCGUAAACGAUGAUCACUCGAUGUCAGCGAUAUACUGUUGGUGUCUUAGCGAAAGUUUUAAGUGAUCCACCUGGGGAGUACGUUCGCAAGAAUGAAACUCAAAGGAAUUGACGGGGGCCCGCACAAGCGGUGGAGCAUGUGGUUUAAUUCGAUGAUACGCGAGGAACCUUACCUGGGCUUAAAUGUAGAGUGCUUUAGGUGGAAACAUCUUUUUCUUCGGACGCUCUACAAGGUGCUGCAUGGCUGUCGUCAGCUCGUGCUGUGAGGUGUCGGGUUAAGUCCCAUAACGAGCGCAACCCCUAUCUUUAGUACGGCUACCUUGUUACGACUUAUCCUGA
rnacentral:rRNA from 1 species